rnacentral:rRNA from 1 species
UGGGGAAUAUUGGACAAUGGGGGAAACCCUGAUCCAGCGACGCCGCGUGUGUGAAGAAGGCCUGCGGGUUGUAAAGCACUUUCGGUGGGAACGAAAUAUGCCGGGCUAAUACCCCGGUAGGCUGACGUUACUCAAUGAAGAAGCACCGGCUAACUCUGUGCCAGCAGCCGCGGUAAUACAGAGGGUGCGAGCGUUAAUCGGAAUUACUGGGCGUAAAGCGCACGUAGGUGGCGACGUAAGUCGGGUGUGAAAGCCCCGGGCUCAACCUGGGAACCGCAUUCGAGACUGCGUUGCUGGAGUACGGAAGAGGAGGGCGGAAUUCCCGGUGUAGCGGUGAAAUGCGUA